rnacentral:rRNA from 1 species
GAUGAACGCUGGCGGCGUGCCUAAUACAUGCAAGUCGAGCGAACAGACGAGGAGCUUGCUCCUCUGACGUUAGCGGCGGACGGGUGAGUAACACGUGGAUAACCUACCUAUAAGACUGGGAUAACUUCGGGAAACCGGAGCUAAUACCGGAUAAUAUAUUGAACCGCAUGGUUCAAUAGUGAAAGACGGUUUUGCUGUCACUUAUAGAUGGAUCCGCGCCGCAUUAGCUAGUUGGUAAGGUAACGGCUUACCAAGGCAACGAUGCGUAGCCGACCUGAGAGGGUGAUCGGCCACACUGGAACUGAGACACGGUCCAGACUCCUACGGGAGGCAGCAGUAGGGAAUCUUCCGCAAUGGGCGAAAGCCUGACGCAGCAACGCCGCGUGAGUGAUGAAGGUCUUCGGAUCGUAAAACUCUGUUAUUAGGGAAGAACAAAUGUGUAAGUAACUAUGCACGUCUUGACAGUACCUAAUCAGAAAGCCACGGCUAACUACGUG